UUGGUUUCAAAAGUUGUAUGAAGGUUUUCAGUGGGGAACCUGUUCAAGGAUCAUUACCGAGUUGAUUUGGGGUCCGUUCCGAUCGUCCCACCCUUUGGAUACCUACCUCUGUUGCUUUGGCGGGCCGCGGUCUUCCGCGGCCGCCCCCCGAUUUUGGGGGGUGGCUAGUGCCCGCCAGAGGACUAUCAAACUCCAGUCAGUAAACGUUGCAGUCUGAAAAAAAUAUUAAAUAAACUAAAACUUUCAACAACGGAUCUCUUGGUUCUGGCAUCGAUGAAGAACGCAGCGAAAUGCGAUAAGUUAUGUGAAUUGCAGAAUUCAGUGAAUCAUCGAAUCUUUGAACGCACAUUGCGCCCCUUGGUAUUCCGGGGGGCAUGCCUGUUCGAGCGUCAUUUCAACCCUCAAGCUCUGCUUGGUAUUGGGCACCGUCCUUUGCGGGCGCGCCUCAAAGACCUCGGCGGUGGCGUCUUGCCUCAAGCGUAGUAGAAUACACCUCGCUUCGGAGCGUAAGGCGUCGCCCGCCGGACGAACCUUCUGAACUUUUCUCAAGGUUGACCUCGGGAUCAGGGUAAGAAACCCCGG
rnacentral:rRNA from 1 species